CGGCAAGAGCUCAAAUUUGAAAGCUGGCCCCCUCGGGGUCCGCAUUGUAAUUUGCAGAGGAUGCUUCGGAAGUGGCCCCCAUCUAAGUGCUCUGGAACGGGCCGUCAUAGAGGGUGAGAAUCCCGUAUGGGAUGGGGUGUCCGCGACCAUGUGAAGCUCCUUCAACGAGUCGAGUUGUUUGGGAAUGCAGCUCUAAAUGGGUGGUAAAUUUCAUCUAAAGCUAAAUAUUGGCCGGAGACCGAUAGCGCACAAGUAGAGUGAUCGAAAGAUGAAAAGCACUUUGAAAAGAGAGUUAAAAAGCACGUGAAAUUGUUGAAAGGGAAGCGCUUGCGACCAGACUCGCCUGCGGGGUUCAGCCGGUAUUCGUACCGGUGUACUUCCCCGUGGGCGGGCCAGCGUCGGUUUGGGCGGCCGGUCAAAGGCCCUCGGAAUGUAACGCCUCUCGGGGCGUCUUAUAGCCGAGGGUGCCAUGCGGCCAGCCCGGACCGAGGAACGCGCU
rnacentral:rRNA from 1 species